AAGAGACCGAUAAAACAAGUACUAGUCGAUUUGAUCGACUAAAGGCAGUGCUCCUGCAUGGCCACAGUCAAAUGACUGAAACAAGUAAAAGAGUAAUGCUGGAUUUGCAUUCUGCUACCAGUAGAGCUUAGAGUUACACUCUCUUAAUGCCAGUAGGACUAAAUCCAGUUAAUAGAGAUAUCAGUAUAGGAAGCCAUAAUUUUAAGUAUCUAGACUCUGGUCACAGCACAGAAGGUGACAGGAUAGGCACUAUCAAUCUCUCUGAUCAGUGAUCUGAUUUUUAAAUGACUAAACCAUAUUUACUGCAGAAAGUUUUUAAAAAAAUUAAUUAAUUAAAUAAAAGCAAGAAGGCCACAUAUUUUAAGAGAAAGAACAAUCAUAUUUUUACUUGACUUUGCAGGGCAUCCAAAACCAGUGGGAUUGAUACAAUUUGUUUCUCUUGAACAGCUGACGGCCGUGGGACAAAUAUAUAUAUAUAUAUACAGAGAGAGAGAGUGAGUGAGUUCCAAAAUUAGAUCAGAAUAGAAUAGUUAGCGUGAGGUCUGAGGGGGAAAUAAUACGGACAAUAGGAGGAGAAAAGAUAAGUGAGUUUCAAGUACAUGAGUAGAGGUUGUACAAAACCAACCAGCCUCAAGCAGCAGAGGCCACUGAAAUAGGUGUAGAAGAGUCAGAGAGAAAACAUGGCAUGUCUGCAAGUCAGAGAUUGGAGUAAUUUUCUGGGAUGUUAAAUCAAGAAGGUCCUUUACAAGUAGUUGGAUAAGAAUGUUUGUUAUGUGUGUAUAAGCAUACAUGAUGGACAAAGUAUGAGCAUCUAGUUCUUCAAUCAACUGAAUGACCUGCUAAUUGAAUUAACAAGCAGCAUAGGUGAGUAUUUCAUAGGCACCCAACGUUCGAAGGUGAAGCUUGACUUUUGAAUGUUGGGCCUCAUGAAGGCAAUGACAAGUGACCGAGACCUUUGGAGAUAUGCUGUGCUUGAGAAGACCCAGCAAGCCAAGCGAGACUGUAAC